CCCCCAGUAGCGGCGAGCGAACGGGGAGCAGCCCAGAGCCUGAAUCAGUGUGUGUGUUAGUGGAAGCGUCUGGAAAAGCGCGCGAUACAGGGUGACAGCCCCGUACACAAAAAUGCACAUGCUGUGAGCUCGAUGAGUAGGGCGGGACACGUGGUAUCCUGUCUGAAUAUGGGGGGACCAUCCUCCAAGGCUAAAUACUCCUGACUGACCGAUAGUGAACCAGUACCGUGAGGGAAAGGCGAAAAGAACCCCGGCGAGGGGAGUGAAAAAGAACCUGAAACCGUGUACGUACAAGCAGUGGGAGCACGCUUCGGCGUGUGACUGCGUACCUUUUGUAUAAUGGGUCAGCGACUUAUAUUCUGUAGCAAGGUUAACCGAAUAGGGGAGCCGAAGGGAAACCGAGUCUUAACUGGGCGUUAAGUUGCAGGGUAUAGACCCGAAACCCGGUGAUCUAGCCAUGGGCAGGUUGAAGGUUGGGUAACACUAACUGGAGGACCGAACCGACUAAUGUUGAAAAAUUAGCGGAUGACUUGUGGCUGGGGGUGAAAGGCCAAUCAAACCGGGAGAUAGCUGGUUCUCCCCGAAAGCUAUUUAGGUAGCGCCUCGUGAAUUCAUCUCCGGGGGUAGAGCACUGUUUCGGCAAGGGGGUCAUCCCGACUUACCAACCCGAUGCAAACUGCGAAUACCGGAGAAUGUUAUCACGGGAGACACACGGCGGGUGCUAACGUCCGUCGUGAAGAGGGAAACAACCCAGACCGCCAGCUAAGGUCCCAAAGUCAUGGUUAAGUGGGAAACGAUGUGGGAAGGCCCAGACAGCCAGGAUGUUGGCUUAGAAGCAGCCAUCAUUUAAAGAAAGCGUAAUAGCUCACUGGUCGAGUCGGCCUGCGCGGAAGAUGUAACGGGGCUAAACCAUGCACCGAAGCUGCGGCAGCGACG
rnacentral:rRNA from 1 species